AACGAACGCUGGCGGCAGGCUUAACACAUGCAAGUCGAGCGGACAUUUCGGUGUCAGCGGCGGACGGGUGAGUAAUGUAUGAAGAUGUACCCUUUGGAACGGAAUAACGUUUGGAAACGGACGCUAAGACCGUAUACGCACUAAGGUGGAAAGAUUUAUCGCCGAAGGAUCAUCUCAUAUCGGAUUAGCUAGUUGUGGUGGUAAUGGCUCCACAAGGCAAUGAUCCGUAGCCGGCCUGAGAGGGUGGACGGCCACAUCGGGACUGAGACACGGCCCGAACUCCUACGGGAGGCAGCAGUGGGGAAUAUUGGACAAUGGGGGCAACCCUGAUCCAGCCAUGCCGCGUGAGUGAAGAAGGCCUUAGGGUUGUAAAGCUCUUUUGUCAGGGAUGAUAAUGACCGUACCUGAAGAAUAAGCCCCGGCUAACUCCGUGCCAGCCGCCGCGGUAA
rnacentral:rRNA from 1 species